rnacentral:rRNA from 1 species
GACGAACGCUGGCGGCGUGCUUAACACAUGCAAGUCGAACGCUGAAGCUUGGUGCUUGCACUGGGUGGAUGAGUGGCGAACGGGUGAGUAAUACGUGAGUAACCUGCCCUUGACUCUGGGAUAAGCCUGGGAAACUGGGUCUAAUACUGGAUACGACAUGCCACUGCAUGGUGGUGUGUGGAAAGGGUUUUACUGGUUUUGGAUGGGCUCACGGCCUAUCAGCUUGUUGGUGGGGUAAUGGCCUACCAAGGCGACGACGGGUAGCCGGCCUGAGAGGGUGACCGGCCACACUGGGACUGAGACAGGGCCCAGACGCCUACGGGAGGCAGCGGUGGGGAAUAUUGCACAAUGGGCGGAAGCCUGAUGCAGCGACGCCGCGUGAGGGAUGACGGCCUUCGGGUUGUAAACCUCUUUCAGCACGGAAGAAGCGAGAGUGACGGUACGUGCAGAAGAAGCGCCGGCUAACUACGUG